UACGUAGGUGGCAAGCGUUGUCCGGAUUUACUGGGCGUAAAGAGCGCGCAGGCGGUCGUUCAAGUCGCGUGUGAAAGCCCCCGGCUCAACUGGGGAGGGUCACGCGAUACUGAUUGACUCGAAGGCAGGAGAGGGAAGUGGAAUUCCCGGUGUAGUGGUGAAAUGCGUAGAUAUCGGGAGGAACACCAGUGGCGAAGGCGACUUCCUGGCCUGUUCUUGACGCUGAGGCGCGAAAGCGUGGGGAGCAAACAGG
rnacentral:rRNA from 1 species